rnacentral:rRNA from 1 species
UACGGGGGGUGCGAGCGUUGUCCGGAAUCACUGGGCGUAAAGGGCGCGUAGGUGGCCUGAUAAGGGUGUGGUGAAAGUCCGGGGCUUAACCCCGGAUCUGCCGUGCCGACUGUUAGGCUAGAGUGCUGUAGGGGCAGGCGGAAUUCCGGGUGUAGCGGUGGAAUGCGUAGAGAUCCGGAGGAAGACCGGUGGCGAAGGCGGCCUGCUGGGCAGAUACUGACACUGAGGCGCGACAGCGUGGGGAGCAAACAGGG